rnacentral:rRNA from 1 species
UCAUGGCUCAGGACGAACGCUGGCGGCAUGCCUAAUACAUGCAAGUCGAGCGAACAGAUGAAGUGCUUGCACUUCUGACGUUAGCGGCGAACGGGUGAGUAACACGUAAGGAAUCUACCUAUAAGCGGGGGAUAACAUUCGGAAACGGGUGCUAAUACCGCAUAAUAUCUUCUUCCGCAUGGAAGAAGAUUGAAAGACGGCUCUGCUGUCACUUAUAGAUGACCUUGCGGUGCAUUAGUUAGUUGGUGGGGUAAUGGCCUACCAAGACGAUGAUGCAUAGCCGACCUGAGAGGGUGAUCGGCCACAUUGGGACUGAGACACGGCCCAAACUCCUACGGGAGGCAGCAGUAGGGAAUCUUCCGCAAUGGGCGAAAGCCUGACGGAGCAAUGCCGCGUGAGUGAAGAAGGCCUUCGGGUCGUAAAACUCUGUUAUAAGAGAAGAACAAAUUGUAGAGUAACUGCUACAGUCUUGACGGUAUCUUAUCAGAAAGCCACGGCUAACUACGUGCCAGCAGCCGCGGUAAUACGUAGGUGGCAAGCGUUGUCCGGAUUUAUUGGGCGUAAAGGGAGCGCAGGUGGUUUCUUAAGUCUGAUGUGAAAGCCCACGGCUUAACCGUGGAGGGUCAUUGGAAACUGGGAAACUUGAGUACAGAAGAGGAAUGUGGAACUCCAUGUGUAGCGGUGGAAUGCGUAGAUAUAUGGAAGAACACCAGUGGCGAAGGCGACAUUCUGGUCUGUUACUGACACUGAGGCUCGAAAGCGUGGGGAGCAAACAGGAUUAGAUACCCUGGUAGUCC